rnacentral:tRNA from 1 species
GCUAGCGUAGCUUAAUAAAAGCAUGGCACUGAAGAUGCCAAGACGGGCCCUAAAAAGCCCCGCAUGCA